GAAGCAUUCAGCUCCACUGCCCUGAAGCUGGCUGAGGCGCUCCGGCCACUCUUUGAUAACGAAAACACCCAUGUGCAGCUGCUUUCCAUUCGCCUCUCCCAGGAGGUCAUGCAGUUGCUUGUGGAAGAGGGAACAAAUACGCAGGUGCAUCACAGCCUCGUGCCACUGUUCUUCCACUGGCACAAUGAGAACCAGUGCGUGGCAGAGGCCUCUCAGGGAUGCUAGGUACCCACUAAAGCCUCUCUCUCACUCCCCUCUGCAACUGGAUAGAGCAGAGAAAAUCCAACAAAGGAUUCAGGAGUUAAGAGCUGAGAGAGGUC